rnacentral:rRNA from 1 species
GGGUUGUGAGGUUAAGCGACUAAGCGUACACGGUGGAUGCCCUGGCAGUCAGAGGCGAUGAAGGACGUGCUAAUCUGCGAAAAGCGUCGGUAAGGUGAUAUGAACCGUUACAGCCGGCGAUGUCCGAAUGGGGAAACCCAGUGCAAUUCGUUGCACUAUCGUUAACUGAAUACAUAGGUUAACGAGGCGAACCGGGGGAACUGAAACAUCUAAGUACCCCGAGGAAAAGAAAUCAACCGAGAUUCCCCCAGUAGCGGCGAGCGAACGGGGAGCAGCCCAGAGUCUGAAUCAGCUUGUGUGUUAGUGGAACGGUCUGGAAAGUCCGACGGUACAGGGUGAUAGUCCCGUACACCAAAAUGCACAGGCUGUGAACUCGAAGAGUAGGGCGGGACACGUGGUAUCCUGUCUGAAUAUGGGGGGACCAUCCUCCAAGGCUAAAUACUCCUGACUGACCGAUAGUGAACCAGUACCGUGAGGGAAAGGCGAAAAGAACCCCGGCGAGGGGAGUGAAAAAGAACCUGAAACCGUGUACGUACAAGCAGUGGGAGCACCUUCGGGUGUGACUGCGUACCUUUUGUAUAAUGGGUCAGCGACUUAUAUUCUGUAGCAAGGUUAACCGUAUAGGGGAGCCGCAGGGAAACCGAGUCUUAACUGGGCGUUAAGUUGCAGGGUAUAGACCCGAAACCCGGUGAUCUAGCCAUGGGCAGGUUGAAGGUUGGGUAACACUAACUGGAGGACCGAACCGACUAAUGUUGAAAAAUUAGCGGAUGACUUGUGGCUGGGGGUGAAAGGCCAAUCAAACCGGGAGAUAGCUGGUUCUCCCCGAAAGCUAUUUAGGUAGCGCCUCGUGAACUCAUCUUCGGGGGUAGAGCACUGUUUCGGCUAGGGGGUCAUCCCGACUUACCAACCCGAUGCAAACUACGAAUACCGAAGAAUGUUAUCACGGGAGACACACGGCGGGUGCUAACGUCCGUCGUGAAGAGGGAAACAACCCAGACCGCCAGCUAAGGUCCCAAAGUCAUGGUUAAGUGGGAAACGAUGUGGGAAGGCACAGACAGCCAGGAUGUUGGCUUAGAAGCAGCCAUCAUUUAAAGAAAGCGUAAUAGCUCACUGGUCGAGUCGGCCUGCGCGGAAGAUGUAACGGGGCUAAACCAUGCACCGAAGCUGCGGCAGCGACACUAUGUGUUGUUGGGUAGGGGAGCGUUCUGUAAGCCUGCGAAGGUGUGCUGUGAGGCAUGCUGGAGGUAUCAGAAGUGCGAAUGCUGACAUAAGUAACGAUAAAGCGGGUGAAAAGCCCGCUCGCCGGAAGACCAAGGGUUCCUGUCCAACGUUAAUCGGGGCAGGGUGAGUCGACCCCUAAGGCGAGGCCGAAAGGCGUAGUCGAUGGGAAACAGGUUAAUAUUCCUGUACUUGGUGUUACUGCGAAGGGGGGACGGAGAAGGCUAUGUUAGCCGGGCGACGGUUGUCCCGGUUUAAGCAUGUAGGCUGGUUGUCCAGGCAAAUCCGGAUAAUCAAGGCUGAGGUGUGAUGACGAGGCACUACGGUGCUGAAGUAACAAAUGCCCUGCUUCCAGGAAAAGCCUCUAAGCAUCAGGUAACAUUAAAUCGUACCCCAAACCGACACAGGUGGUCAGGUAGAGAAUACCAAGGCGCUUGAGAGAACUCGGGUGAAGGAACUAGGCAAAAUGGUGCCGUAACUUCGGGAGAAGGCACGCUGGUGUGUAGGUGAAGCCCCUGCGGGUGGAGCUGAGACCAGUCGAAGAUACCAGCUGGCUGCAACUGUUUAUUAAAAACACAGCACUGUGCAAACACGAAAGUGGACGUAUACGGUGUGACGCCUGCCCGGUGCCGGAAGGUUAAUUGAUGGGGUUAUCCGUAAGGAGAAGCUCUUGAUCGAAGCCCCGGUAAACGGCGGCCGUAACUAUAACGGUCCUAAGGUAGCGAAAUUCCUUGUCGGGUAAGUUCCGACCUGCACGAAUGGCGUAAUGAUGGCCAGGCUGUCUCCACCCGAGACUCAGUGAAAUUGAACUCGCUGUGAAGAUGCAGUGUACCCGCGGCAAGACGGAAAGACCCCGUGAACCUUUACUAUAGCUUGACACUGAACAUUGAGCCUUGAUGUGUAGGAUAGGUGGGAGGCUUUGAAGCGUGGACGCCAGUCUGCGUGGAGCCAACCUUGAAAUACCACCCUUUAAUGUUUGAUGUUCUAACGUUGGCCCCUGACCGGGGUUGCGGACAGUGUCUGGUGGGUAGUUUGACUGGGGCGGUCUCCUCCCAAAGCGUAACGGAGGAGCACGAAGGUUAGCUAAUCCUGGUCGGACAUCAGGAGGUUAGUGCAAUGGCAUAAGCUAGCUUGACUGCGAGCGUGACGGCGCGAGCAGGUGCGAAAGCAGGUCAUAGUGAUCCGGUGGUUCUGAAUGGAAGGGCCAUCGCUCAACGGAUAAAAGGUACUCCGGGGAUAACAGGCUGAUACCGCCCAAGAGUUCAUAUCGACGGCGGUGUUUGGCACCUCGAUGUCGGCUCAUCACAUCCUGGGGCUGAAGUAGGUCCCAAGGGUAUGGCUGUUCGCCAUUUAAAGUGGUACGCGAGCUGGGUUUAGAACGUCGUGAGACAGUUCGGUCCCUAUCUGCCGUGGGCGCUGGAGAAUUGAGGGGGGCUGCUCCUAGUACGAGAGGACCGGAGUGGACGCAUCACUGGUGUUCGGGUUGUCAUGCCAAUGGCACUGCCCGGUAGCUAAAUGCGGAAGAGAUAAGUGCUGAAAGCAUCUAAGCACGAAACUUGCCCCGAGAUGAGUUCUCCCUGAGACUAUAAGUCUCCUGAAGGAACGUUAAAGACGAUGACGUUGAUAGGCCGGGUGUGUAAGCGCAGCGAUGCGUUGAGCUAACCGGUACUAAUGAACCGUGAGGCUUAACCUUACAACGCCGAAG